GCGUGAGUGAUGAAGGCCCUAGGGUUGUAAAGCUCUUUCACCGGUGACGAUAAUGACGGUAGCCGGAGAAGAAGCCCCGGCUAACUUCGUGCCAGCAGCCGCGGUAAUACGAAGGGGGCUAGCGUUGUUCGGAAUUACUGGGCGUAAAGCGCACGUAGGCGGAUGAUUAAGUUAGAGGUGAAAGCCCAGGGCUCAACCCUGGAAUUGCCUUUAAUACUGGUCAUCUUGAGGACGGAAGAGGAGAGUGGAAUUCCCAGUGUAGAGGUGAAAUUCGU
rnacentral:rRNA from 1 species